GGGUAGGGGAAAAUAGAAGAUGCCAUGGGAAGAGACAAAAAUAAAACAAGGGGAACUGACCUAGUCUAGGAAGUCAGACAAUAGAGACCUAACUUUGGAUGAUAUUUUCCGGAAUGAAUGAAAUGGAGCACUUGAUGAAGAAUUAGUCUCUGAGAGAAAGCAAAGAGGCAGAGAAAGAGGAACCUACUAAAGAAUACGCUACAGAUAAAUGAAGGAACGUGCCAAGAAAUAGGAAGUUAGGGGAUCCAGAAAACAGACACCCCAAUUCAAGAGAACAGAAGAAGAUCCUGGGUUGAUGAUGAUGGGAGACUCCAUGGUAACAGGAGACUCCAUGUGUAGAUUGCGCUACACACUUCCACACCCUCCAAACAGAUGCAAGACGACCAGAAAAGAAGAUUCCAUCUCACGUAUCAGAGGGACAAAUGGUUAGAAGAAUGGUAUUAAUUUGGAAUUCAAAAAGCUUACACCAGUCCACUAAGGACACCCAAAACAGCAUGCUACAACUCAUUUGAAUAAGAAUGUCAUUUUUAAAGCUCUGGAUUAAAGAAACUCAUUUUUGAGGAAAUAAUAAUCCCCUUACCCUACUCUACUCCCAAGCCAACCGAAAGAUCUCUCUUAGUCUACAGCAGCUCCGUGCACAGACCCAAUGCCUUUUGAUCGUCUGCUUGGCCCCCUGGCCAGAUGUGAUGAGGAGCUGGAUGUGGCGAGACAGUUUCCAAAUGUGAUGCUUGUGAGUUUUCUCAGGCCAUAGAGGGCUGAGUGAUUACGGGGUAUUACUCCAGCAGAGGAGCCUGACCACAGAGAGGGCAUCCCGUACAAGAGCCUGCAGCAGCCAGGACCACAUGGCGCAGUAGAAAGGAUGAGAGAGAAGCAAUGAUGUGUUUUGGGUCUCUAAUGUAUUCUAAGAAUGGUCAGUUGAGUCUCCCUUGUUUUCUUUAGAAACCAACUGCUUGAUUAUUGGAAUCUCUUCUAUAACGCUAUUUUAUUGCACUAAGAAAAAAACUUACCUUAUUUUCCAUUCGUAUGACAUCAUUAAAACAACAAACAGGGAAAAAGAGAGAUCAAUAAAUAGUAACAUAAGCGUCUACACAGCAGCCAACAUUGUUAAAAGGAAAAGCAAAUAGUGUCAUUGUUUCCCC
rnacentral:lncRNA from 1 species